rnacentral:tRNA from 1 species
GAAAUAUUUUUUAAGCUUCUAACUUAACCCUAAGCCUCGUGUUUAUAUUUCU